rnacentral:misc_RNA from 1 species
CACGAACCGUACGAACGUUAUUCGGAAUCACUGGGCUUAAAGAGUGCGUAGGCGGCGUGGCAAGUUGGGUGUGAAAUCCCUCGGCUCAACCGAGGAAUUGCGCCCAAAACUGCCAUGCUAGAGGGAGAUAGGGGUGAGCGGAACUAAUGGUGGAGCGGUGAAAUGCGUUGAUAUCAUUAGGAACACCGGAGGCGAAAGCGGCUCACUGGGUCUCUUCUGACGCUGAGGCACGAAAGCUAGGGGAGCAAACGGG